rnacentral:rRNA from 1 species
UAGAGUUUGAUCAUGGCUCAGGAUGAACGCUAGCGGCAGGCUUAACACAUGCAAGUCGAGGGGCAUCGGGAGGGAAGCUUGCUUUCCUUGCCGGCGACCGGCGCACGGGUGAGUAACACGUAUGCAACCUGCCCUCUUCAGGGGGACAACCUUCCGAAAGGGAGGCUAAUCCCGCGUAUAUCGGUUUCGGGCAUCCGAGAUCGAGGAAAGAUUCAUCGGAAGAGGAUGGGCAUGCGGCGCAUUAGCUUGACGGCGGGGUAACGGCCCACCGUGGCGACGAUGCGUAGGGGUUCUGAGAGGAAGGUCCCCCACACUGGUACUGAGACACGGACCAGACUCCUACGGGAGGCAGCAGUGAGGAAUAUUGGUCAAUGGGAGAGAUCCUGAACCAGCCAAGCCGCGUGAGGGAAGACGGCCCUAUGGGUUGUAAACCUCUUUUGUCGGAGAACAAAACCCGGGACGUGUCCCGGACUGCGUGUAUCCGAAGAAAAAGCAUCGGCUAACUCCGUGCCAGCAGCCGCGGUAAUACGGAGGAUGCGAGCGUUAUCCGGAUUUAUUGGGUUUAAAGGGUGCGUAGGCGGUCCGUUAAGUCAGCGGUAAAAUUGCGGGGCUCAACCCCGUCGAGCCGUUGAAACUGGCAGACUUGAGUUGGCGAGAAGUACGCGGAAUGCGCGGUGUAGCGGUGAAAUGCAUAGAUAUCGCGCAGAACUCCGAUUGCGAAGGCAGCGUACCGGCGCCACACUGACGCUGAGGCACGAAAGCGUGGGGAUCGAACAGGAUUAGAUACCCUGGUAGU